UGGGAAUCAGAGAUACCAGUAAAACCUUUCUUCCUACAGCUCUAUAGAACACUUAGUAACGUAUCUCUGUCAAACAGCAGGCUGUCUGGUGUGCUGAGGGCUGAGUUAGGUGUCACGGUGAUUGAGAAACGCCUUUCCUCUCUCAUUUCAGGUGAAUAAGAAGUGGAUUCACACUGCUGCUCACCUGCACCGUCAGUUACCCCCGCUGCAGGGCUGUGGGAACGUCGUGCUGCUUUAGAUACCCCUUAUUACACGUGAAAGUGCACUCUUCCCUGCCACAGCUCACAACACACC
rnacentral:lncRNA from 1 species